GGGAAAUCAGGGUUAUAGGGGCAGGGGUAACCAAGGAGGAAUAGACAGGAACACUUGUUUCAACUGUGGCCAAUAUGGCCACUGGAGGAAUGAGUGUCCACACCCCAGGAAACCCCAGGAAACCCCACACACCCCAACAACCCCACCUUUCUCAAAAUAUGCCCGGUAGGCAAGAACAACACCAGACCCACUCCCAACACCACUGGCCAGCAUAUCGCUUAGUUCAGGACUUUAGAGCCCUGAAUAGUUUAAUUGUGCCCAUUUCACCCAUUGUCCCUGAUGUGACAUCCCUCAUUACAGCCAUUCCACAUGAUGCCACUUGCUUCACUGUCAUUGAUUUAAGUAAUGCAUUUUUUUCUAUACCUAUUGAUCAAGAGACACAGCUACUUAUGGUUUUUACUUUUUGAAGGCUGUCAGUUUACCUGGACACGCUUACCCAAGGCUAUGUGGAUUCCCCAGCUGUUUAUUCGUUGGUACUCCAACAUACUCUAAAAAAACAUGGACCACCGGUCAUGGUUCCGUCCUUUUUGCAAAAUGUUGAUGAUUUGUUGUUAUGUAACCCUAGCUAUGAGGCAAGCACUGUGGAUACUGUCAGCAACUGUAGGUCACAAGGUUGUUAAACACAAAAUGCAAUUGUGUAAAUCAAAGGUUGAAUACUUAGGUUUUGUUCUGGCUUUAGGCACCAGACAAUUGAGUCCAAAACGUAUUGAGGUCAUUCAGAGGAUUCCUACAC